rnacentral:rRNA from 1 species
UGACCUACGGGCGGCAGCAGUGGGGAAUAUUGCACAAUGGGCGCAAGCCUGAUGCAGCCAUGCCGCGUGUAUGAAGAAGGCCUUCGGGUUGUAAAGUACUUUCAGCGGGGAGGAAGGGAGUAAAGUUAAUACCUUUACUCAUUGACGUUACCCGCAGAAGAAGCACCGGCUAACUCCGUGCCAGCAGCCGCGGUAAUACGGAGGGUGCAAGCGUUAAUCGGAAUUACUGGGCGUAAAGCGCACGCAGGCGGUUUGUUAAGUCAGAUGUGAAAUCCCCGGGCUCAACCUGGGAACUGCAUCUGAUACUGGCAAGCUUGAGUCUCGUAGAGGGGGGUAGAAUUCCAGGUGUAGCGGUGAAAUGCGUAGAGAUCUGGAGGAAUACCGGUGGCGAAGGCGGCCCCCUGGACGAAGACUGACGCUCAGGUGCGAAAGCGUGGGGAGCAAACAGGAUUAGAUACCCGUGUAGUCUUA